CACGUAGGGGGCAAGCGUUGUCCGGAUUUAUUGGGCGUAAAGAGCUCGUAGGUGGUUCGGUAAGUCGGGUGUUAAACCCCCAGGCUCAACCUGGGGACGCCACUCGAUACUGCUGUGACUAGAGUCCGGUAGGGGAGCGUGGAAUUCCUGGUGUAGCGGUGAAAUGCUUAGAUAUGGCACAGAACACCGAUAGUGAAGACAGCUCACGAAGGCGAAACUGACACUGAGGCACGAAAGCGUGGGGAUCGAACAGG
rnacentral:rRNA from 1 species